rnacentral:rRNA from 1 species
GGACGAACGCUGGCGGCGUGCUUAACACAUGCAAGUCGAACGGAAAGGCCCUUCGGGGUACUCGAGUGGCGAACGGGUGAGUAACUCGUGGGUGAUCUGCCCUGCACUUUGGGAUAAGCCUGGGAAACUGGGUCUAAUACCGAAUAGGACCACGCGCUUCAUGGUGUGUGGUGGAAAGCUUUUGCGGUGUGGGAUGGGCCCGCGGCCUAUCAGCUUGUUGGUGGGGUAAUGGCCUACCAAGGCGACGACGGGUAGCCGGCCUGAGAGGGUGACCGGCCACACUGGGACUGAGAUACGGCCCAGACUCCUACGGGAGGCAGCAGUGGGGAAUAUUGCACAAUGGGCGCAAGCCUGAUGCAGCGACGCCGCGUGAGGGAUGACGGCCUUCGGGUUGUAAACCUCUUUCAAUAGGGACGAAGCGCAAGUGACGGUACCUAUAGAAGAAGCACCGGCCAACUACGUG